GAUGAACGCUGGCGGCGUGCCUAAUACAUGCAAGUCGAGCGAACGGACGAGAAGCUUGCGUCUCUGAUGUUAGCGGCGGACGGGUGAGUAACACGUGGAUAACCUACCUAUAAGACGGGGAGAACUUCGGGAAACCGGAGCUAAUACCGGAUAAUAUUUUGAACGGCAUGGUUCAAAAGUAAAAGACGGUCUUGCUGUCACUUAUAGAUGGAUCCGCGCUGCAUUAGCUAGUUGGUAAGGUAACGGCUUACCAAGGCAACGAUGCAUAGCCGACCUGAGAGGGUGAUCGGCCACACUGGAACUGAGACACGGUCCAGACUCCUACGGGAGGCAGCAGUGGGGAAUCUUCCGCAAUGGGCGCAAGCCUGACGGAGCCACGCCGCGUGAGUGAUGAAGGUCUUCGGAUCGUAAAGCUCUUUUGUUAGGGAAGAACAUAUGUGUAAGUAUCUGUGCACAUCUUGACGGUACCUAAUCAGAAAGCCCCGGCUAACUACGUG
rnacentral:rRNA from 1 species